AGUGAACGCUGGCGGUAGGCCUAACACAUGCAAGUCGAACGGCAGCACAGUAAGAGCUUGCUCUUACGGGUGGCGAGUGGCGGACGGGUGAGGAAUACAUCGGAAUCUACUUUUUCGUGGGGGAUAACGUAGGGAAACUUACGCUAAUACCGCAUACGACCUACGGGUGAAAGCAGGGGAUCUUCGGACCUUGCGCGAUUGAAUGAGCCGAUGUCGGAUUAGCUAGUUGGCGGGGUAAAGGCCCACCAAGGCGGCGAUGCGUAGCUGGUCUGAGAGGAUGAUCGGCCACACUGGAACUGAGACACGGUCCAGACUCCUACGGGAGGCAGCAGUGGGGAAUAUUGGACAAUGGGCGCAAGCCUGAUCCAGCCAUACCGCGUGGGUGAAGAAGGCCUUCGGGUUGUAAAGCCCUUUUGUUGGGAAAGAAAAGCAGCAGGUUAAUACCCCGCUGUUCUGACGGUACCCAAAGAAUAAGCACCGGCUAACUUCGUG
rnacentral:rRNA from 1 species